rnacentral:rRNA from 1 species
UACGUAGGAUGCAAGCGUUAAUCGGAAUUACUGGGCGUAAAGCGUGCGCAGGCGGCUUUGCAAGACAGAUGUGAAAUCCCCGGGCUUAACCUGGGAACUGCAUUUGUGACUGCAUGGCUGGAGUGCGGCAGAGGGGGAUGGAAUUCCGCGUGUAGCAGUGAAAUGCGUAGAUAUGCGGAGGAACACCGAUGGCGAAGGCAGUCCCCUGGGCCUGCACUGACGCUCAUGCACGAAAGCGUGGGGAGCAAACAGG